GGGGCUGAUUUUCGGUUCCUCCUUCCAGAUUUGUUCCGUAAAACCUGUUGGGUACAAUUCAAUCCCUCCCCCUUUCCCCUGAACGAAAAAUUCGAAACCUACAACUCAAAACUCACUCAUUUGUCGCCCCUCCUUGGCUUUCCGCUUUAUUCAUCUCCCGGUGUUUCUUUCUCUCCAUACGAUUCGAUUUCGGUGGGCCCGUUCACUAACUAAGCUUUCAAGGGAACCCAUCAACGGUUUGUUUGCUGGGGGAAUUCGGAGACUACCAGUCAUGAUCUUCCGCUGCAGCAUCCAAAUUUUGCAUUUGUAAAUUGUCAAAGAAAAACGAAGUAUGAGGAAAUUAUAGGAGAUUGUGUCGGCUUUGGCCAUGAAGGGUAUCAGCAGCUUGUUCCCCCAUACAGAACCAGCAAUGCAAGAGCAGGAUCUGAUCAGUCACGCCCGAAAAGGGGUUUGUUUCUCAAAUCACAUUAAUUAAUUAGAUUAUUAACGUGCGUUGGAAGGCUCUUCAAUAUGAUUUCUAAUUUCUCCUUUCCAGCAUUCUCUUUUUGGUUUUUGGAGUAUGUAUGU
rnacentral:sRNA from 1 species